AAAAAAACUAAAAAUGGAGAAUUGAAUUUUAUCCAAAUCAGACACUUGUACUUCAAGGGAUACCAUCAAGUACCCUACGGAUGGUGUUGAGGCUGGUCCCCUACAUUCUGGUGCCCAACAUGAGGCCCGAAAGAAUCCAGUGAAGGCAUGCUCAAGCGUGUGAAAUGGAGGACCGACAGACAAAGGACUCCCAAAGACGAAAAAGUUUUAAGCUCCGCAGGUGAGCGGGGCACUUGGAGAAAGCUAGGGACACAAAUGGGACAAACUGAAAGUAAGUACGCCAUGUAUUUGAGCUUGCUAUGGCAGCUCUUGAAGCGUAGUGGUGUAAAAGUUGAUACAAAAAAUCUUAUGGAUUUGUUUUAUGCUGUGGAACAAUUUUGCCCUUGGUUCCCGGAACAGAGAACUUUGGAAUUGAAAGAUUGGGAAAGAAUUGGAAAGGACCUUAAAAGAGCACAAAGAAAGGGAAAGGAAAUUCCUUUGCCUGUUUGGUCAGUUUGGUCAUUGGUGUGUACAGCACUGGAGGCUUUUCAGAUAGAUGAUGAGGCUGAGUCAGAGGAGAGAGAGGAGUUUAAUGAUCAGGACUCUGAACCACCCCUACCAAGUACUAAUAAAAAGGGAGAGUCCAGAGUGUUGCAGGAAGUCAGGGACCCCAAACAGAGGGACCGGCUGAAGCCAUGGCAGAAGAACAUAAAUUGUGAAGAUUUCAUGGACAUUUGUUAGUUCCCUAAAUUAAUACUUUUAUAAUUUCUUACACCUGUCUUUACUGUAAUCUCUGAACAUAAAUUGUGAAGAUUUCAUGGACAUUUAUCACCUCCCCAAUCAAUACUCUUAUAAUUUCCUAUGCCUGUCUUUACUUUAAUCUCUUAAUCCCGUCAUCUUCGUAAGCUGGGGAUGUAUAUCGCCUGAGGACCCUGUGAUGAUUGCAUUACCUGUACAAAUUGUUUGUAAAGCAUUUGUGUUUGAAUAAUGUGAAAUCUGGGCACCUUGAAAAGAACAGGAUAACAACGAUUUUCGGGGAACAAGGGAGAUAACCAUAAAGUCUGACUGCCUGUGGGGCCAGGCAGAACAGAGUCAUAUUUCUCUUCUUUCAGAAAGCGAAUAGGAGAAAUAUCGCUGAAUUCUUUUCUCAGCAAGGAAUAACCCUGGGAAAACGAAUGCAUUCCCAGGGAGACAUCUGUAAAAUCGCUGCUCUGGGAGUGUCUGUCUUAUGCAGUUGGAGAUAAGGGAUGAAAUAUGCCCUGGUCUCCUGCAGCACCCUCAGGCUUGCUAGGAUUAGGAAAUUCCAGCCUGGCGAAUUCUAGUCAGAUCGGUUGUCUGCUCUCGAACCCUGUUUCCUGUUAAGAUGUUUAUCAAUAUCAACGUCCAAUGUGCCCAGCGGGACAUGGACCUUCAUCAGUAAUUCUAGUUUCGCCCUGGCCUUGUGAUCUCGCUCUGCCUCUCUGCCUUUGUGAUAUUUUACUGCCUCUGAAGCAUGUGACCUCUGUGACCCACUCCCUAUUCGUACACCCCUCCCCUUUUGAAAUCCAUAAUAAAAACUUGCUGGUUUUGCGGCUCAGGGGCAUCAUGGAACCUGCUGAAAUGUGAUGUCACCCCCGGAGACCCAGCUGUAGAAUUUCUCUUUUGCACUCUUUCUCUUUAUUUCUCAGACUGGCACACUUACGGAAAAUAGAACCUAUGUUGAAAUAUUGGGGGCUGGUUCCCCCGAUACCGGAGGUGAUUUCUACCAAUCCCCCCGGUCUCCCUAAACCUACACAGAAAAUUGUUCAGCCCGCAGCUUCUUCAGAGAAAUGUCCGGAAUGGCCACCUCCUCCUCAGCUGAGUGAGUGCAGGGGGAGGGAGCCUGAAACUCAGCUUGCCGCACCCAUUACUGCCCAACCUGCAGUUCACUAUGGUGAAGAAGCAAUUCAGGCUCACCCUGCAGCAUCCUGUCUGGGUCGAACAGUGGCCGCUCCCUCAGAAAAACUUGGGGGCGUUCCAUGAAAUAGUUAAAAAACUACUAGAAAAAGGAUAUAUUUCACCCACUUUCUCUCCUUGGAAUUCCCCAGUAUAUGUAAUUUUAAAAAAAGUAUGGUAGAUGGUGCAUGCUGACCGACUUGCAAGAGGUCAACGCUGUAAUGCAACCAAUGGGAGCUUUACAACCAGGGCUCCCAUCCCCCACCAUGCUCCCUAAAGACUGGCUGCUUGUUAUUAUAGAUUUAAAAGACUGCUUCUUUACAAUUCCUUUGGCAGAGACAGAUUUUGAAAAAUUUGCCUUUACUAUCCCUGCCAUUAAUAACAAAGAACCUGCAGCCAGAUAUCAUUGGAAGGUUUUACCCCAAGGUAUGUUAAACAGUUCCACAGUUUGUCAAACUUUUGUAGGCAAAGCUAUCCAGCUAGUUAGAGAUCAAUUUCCAGAUUGUUACAUCAUUCAUUAUAUGGAUGACAUACUAUGUGCAACAAAAAAUAGAGACCAACUUAUUCAAUGUUAUUCAUCUUUGCAAAAGGCAAUUACAAAUGCUGGAUUGCUUAUAACACCUGACAAAAUUCAAACAACUCUUCCUUUUCAAUAUUUGGGGAUACAAGUACAAGAUAGAGCCAUUAAGCCUCAAAAGGUUCAAAUCAGAAAAGAUUCUUUAAAAACCUUAAAUGAUUUUCAAAAAUUGUUAGGAGACAUUAAUUGGAUUCAGCCCACCUUAGGAAUUUCUACUUAUGCUAUGUCUAAUAUUUUCUAAAUAUUGAGGGGAGAUUGCAACUUACACCAUAAAAGAGAAUUAACACCCAAGGCCAUGAAUGAGUUAAGAGUAAUUGAAAAAAAAAAAUUCAGCAAGCCCAGGUUAGUAGGAUUGACUCAGUCUUGCCUUUUCAAUUCAUUGUGUUCCCUACUUCACACUCCUCAAUGAGGGUUAUUGUUCAAAAUAAUGAUUUGGUUGAAUGGUCUUUUUUGCCAUAUAAUACCAUGAAAACACUUACAGUCUAUGUAGAUCAGAUCACAAUUUUAAUUGGACAGGCUCAUAUGCAAAUUGUUAAACUUUAUGGCACUGAGCCCAAUAAGAUUAUAGUUCCAAUAAAUAAAAGUCACAUUAAGCAGGCAUUUAUUAACUCAGUUACAUGGCAAGUUAAUUUAGCAGAAUUUAUUGAAUGUAUUGAUAAUCAUCAUCCUAAAAAUAAAAUUUUCCAGUUCUUAAAAUUAACUACAUAGGUUCUUCCGAAAAUUACUCGUGAUGCCCCUUUGGAAGGAGCCAUGAUUGUUUUUACUGAUGGCUCCAGUACUGGGAAAGCGGCAUAUGUGGGACCUUGUGGUAAAGUUAUCCACACUAACUCUUCCUCAGUCCAAAGAGCUAAAUUACAGGCAAUGAUUGCAGUAUUAGAAGAUUUUAAUCAGCCAGUUAAUACUGUUUCAGAUUCAGCUUAUGUUGUAUAAGCUACUCAGCAUAUUGAAACUGCCUUAAUUAAAUAUAUUAUUGAUAAACAGCUUUAUCAAUUGUUCAACUCUUUACAAACAGCUGUGUGUGCUCGGGAUUUUCCUUUCUAUAUAACUCAUAUCCGAGCACAUACCAAUCUUCCAGGACCCUUGACUGAGGCUAAUGAGCAAGCUGACUUGUUGGUUUCCCCCAUACUUACUGAUGCCCAGACUUUCCACUCAUUAACACACCUUAAUGUAACAGGACUUACAAACAACUAUCAAAUUAUGUGGAAACAGGCCAAGGACAUUGUACAACAUCGUCCUCAGUGCCAGGUACUGCAACUACCGUAUCAAGGAACUGGUGUUAACCCUCGAGGGUUGGCACCUAACAUGAUCUGGCAAAUGGACGUCACCCACAUUCCUGCAUUUGGCAAACUUUCUUAUGUCCAUGUGACCAUAGAUACAUAUUCUCAUUUAUAUGGUCUACUUGCCAAACCAGCCAGACUACAACACAUAUAAAAAGACACUUGCUUUCCUGUUUUACUGUCAUGGGAAUUCCACAAAAAUUAAAAACAGACAACAGACCAGGCUACUGUAGUAGAUCUUUCCAAACAUUUUUAAAACAACAGAGCAUUGAACACAGUACGGUUAUCCCCUAUAAUUCUCAAAGGCAAGCGAUUGUUGAGCGAGCCAACUGAACCUUAAAAAUGCAAUUACAUAAAAAGAAAAUAGGGGGAGAUAGGGAAUAUUCCACCCCUCAUAUGCAGUUACAAUUGGCUCUUGUUACCUUAAAUUUUUUGAACAUCUUCCGCAAUCAGGUUACUAUAGCAGCUGAAGAGCAUUUAACAGGACAGAAGGUAAAUGUUCAUGAAGGAAAACCUGUGUGGUGGAAGGACUUUAAAACAAAGACCUGGGAAAAAGAGAGAUAUAACAUGGGGAAGAGGGUUUGUUUGUAUUUCCCCAGAAGAAAACCAGCUUCCAGUUUGGGUACCUACAAGACAUCUUAAAUUCUACCAUGAGCAAAUUUCCAAAGAAGAGAAAAGGAUUUUGGAACCAAGAUCUCCACUCCCAGCACGCCUGAUGGCUCGAAUGAACAUUUCAGCCAACCAGAUGAAGACCAACAAAACCCAUCAAGCGAGCCCACCAACUUGGGGACAGAUCAAGAGGCUGACCCACCUUGCAGAAGAAAACCUGAAAACACAACAAAAACCACUAACCUCGAGUAACCUGAUGGUAGCUAUGAUUGCGGUAAUUACCAUGGUGGUAAGUCUCCCUGUGGCUACAGCAGACCAAAAUUAUACCUAUUGGGCAUACGUCCCAUUUCCACCUUUAAUUAGGCCUGUCACAUGGUUGGAACCCCCGGUUGAGGCUUAUGUUAAUAAUAGUGUUUGGAUGCCUGAGCCUACAGAUACUCAAGGGCCCUCUCACCCAGAGGAGGAAGGAAUGUUAAUAAAUAUGUCCAUGGGUUAUCAGUUCCCCUCCUCUUUGCAUAGGGCCAGCUGUCGGUUGCCUAAAAGGCUACGGACAACAUUGGCUAGUUAAAAUUUCAGGUCAUAAUCAAAGACCAGUAUCCUAUCAUUUAUUUUCUGGAUGGAGCCCGGAUCAUCCACAGAGUUCAGUUCAACUGUAACAGUUUAAGCCCAGAAAAGAGAGGUGUCAACAACCUCAACAACAGUCAAAUGAUUUAGAAAUAUUGAUUUGAAAGGAUUGUAUCUCUUUUUUUUUCUUUCUUUUUUUUUGAGAGGGAGUUUUGCUCUUGUUGCACAGGCUGGAGUGCAAUGGCGCAAUCUCAGCUCACUGCAACCUCCGCCCCCCAAGUUCAAGGGAUUCUCCUGCCUCAGCCUCCCAAGUAGCUGCGAUUACAGGCAUGUGCCACCACACCCUGCUAAUUUUGUAUUUUUAGUAGAGAGGGGGUUUCUCCAUGUUGGCCAGACUGGUCUCGAACUCCCGACCUCAGGUGAUCUGCCGGCCUCGGCCUCCCAAAGUGCUGGGAUUACAGGCGUGAGCCACCACUCCCGGCCAGGAUUGCAUCUCUGAUCACGCUGUGGUACUUCAAAAUAAUUCCUAUGGAAUUGUCACUGAUUGGUCCCCUAAGGGGACCUUUGCAGUUAAUUGUACCAAUCAGAAUGAUAGAUACAAGACAGGACUAAAACAGGAACUAUACUGUCAAAGAGAUGACACUAUUUACACUGAAAAACAUGCCCAGUUUCCCAUAAUUUCAACCAAUUUUGGUAUAGCCGGCCCACAUCCAAAAAUGAUUAAUCCAAUAAUAGGCCCUGAACAUCCCAAAUUAUGGAAGGUAAUGAUGGCCCAAUCUCAUAUUCAGGUUUGAGAAGAAAAAUAUUACCUUGAGGGAAAAGGUGAGAGACUUCAAUUUGUGUAUCAGUUUUCUUCCAACCGAAUGGCGCCCAUUCAGAGCUGUGUCAAGCCUCCUUUUAUGUUGAUGGUCGGAAAUAUUGAUAUUCGACCUAAUUCUCAAACUAUUACUUGUCAAAACUGUCACCUUUUCACCUGUAUUGAUUCCACGUUUGAUGUGAAAACAUCUGUGUUGCUGGUGAGGGCUAGAGGAGUUUAGAUACCGGUUUCCCUCAAUAGACCUUGGAAAGCCUCUUCUUCCAUUCAUAUCCUCACAGAAAUGUUAAAGGGAGUGUUUACCAGAACAAAAAGAUUUAUUUUUACCCUUAUAGCAGUCAUUAUGGGCCUUAUUGCAGUCACAGCUACUGUUGUGGCUGCUGGAAUUGCUUUACACUCCUCUGUUCAAACUGCAGAAUAUGUAAAUAAUUGGCAAAAGAAUUCCUCAAAAUUGUGGAAUUAUCAGACCCGGAUAGACCAACAAUUGGCAAAUCAAAUAAAUGAUCUUAGACAGACUGUUAUUUGGAUGAGAGAUCGUAUAAUAAGCUUAGAGCAUCGAUUGCAAAUGCAAUGUGAUUGGAAUACUUCUGAUUUCUGCAUAACUCCCCAUUCAUACAAUGCUACUGAACAUCACUGGGAAAAAGUUAGACAUCAUCUGGAAGAAAGGGAUGGAAAUUUUACACUGAAUAUAGCCAAAUUAAAGGAACAGGUUUUUAAAGCAUCUCAGGCUCAUUUAACUCUCCUGCCUGGGACUGACAUUCUCACUGGAGCUGCUGAUGGACUUUCAAACAUAAAUCCUCUUAAGUGGAUUAAGACCGUUAGAGAAUCAACUAUCGCAAAUUUUGCUUUAAUGUGUACCUGUUUAUGCUGUUUGCUUUUAGUCUGCAGAUGCGGAAGAUGCCUCUGGAGAGAGACCAGACACCAGGAACAAGUCUUAAUAGCAAUGGCAGUUUUAAAAAAGAAAAAAGGGGGGCAUGUUGGGAAAAAGGCUUACAGGGUGCCUGCAUAAACUGGCCAUAAAAACAUGGGACAGUAAGUUGUGGAAAGCCACAAGAGGACUCUGAGGAGGAAAGCCUUCUUAUCGCCAUUAUGUUCCCAUGCUCUGAGCACAACCUGCUCUCUUAUCUAUAAACACUGUGCUCAAGAAGAAAGACGCUCCUCUGAAGCACUGGAAUGUGGCUAGAUAUGCAGGCUCCUAGUUAAGCCCACUCCCACCAGCUAACUAAAGAUACGUUGUUUAAGCACAAAGGAGAUUCACUUAAACCGCCACUGCUACAGAUUAUGUGUAUGACGUACUGCUUCCCUUUGACUGUUUCGCCCUGAACAUCUGCUUCUUAGAUCUAAGUGACUGUACUCAAUAAACAGUGUGGAGAUCAGAA